GUAGGAGAUUUUGGUUCUUAUUUAUCAAACAGUUUAGCUGUUAGAGGGAGUAUUUGCUGAGAAUUUAUACAUGUCAAUCUUUCCAAGAGUUUCGCGAUGAUUCUUUUGAGGCUUAUACCUUUGCUCACCCUUGCUUUUGCUCUUGAUUUCGGUCCUGACUGUGACCGUUAUGGAAUCUGCCUGAUGGUAAUGAGGCCAGUGUGCGGAAGUGACGGCAGGACCUACGGAAAUCUAUGUAUUUUAAACAUGCACAAAAUCUGCAACAAUGCCCUGAAUUUCGUUCACAGGGGCUAUUGCAAAAAACCCACAAUUUGGACACAGUACUGAGCUUUUGCUUUUAUUUUAGUAUUAAAUUCUGUGAACCAU